UACACGCUGUGACUAGCAUAUCAAUAAGCGGAGGAAAAGUCAACUACCUACGCUUAGGAUGUUGACACACGCGCGUGCUCGACUCUAUACAUGACUCUGUGCAUAUCAAUAAGCGGAGGAAAAGAAACUAACAAGGAUUCCCCUAGUAACGGCGAGUGAAGCGGGAAGAGCUCAAAUUUGAAAUCUUAAAGGGUUUCCCUUUACGAAUUGUAGUUUAAAGAAGUGUUUUCUGUUGAGGUUUUGGUAAAAGUUCUUUGGAAUAGGACAUCAUAGAGGGUGAGAAUCCCGUAUUUGACCUUUACUUUCAACUUUGUGAUACACUUUCAAAGAGUCGGAUUGUUUGGGAAUGCAGUCCAAAAUGGGUGGUAAAUUUCAUCUAAAGCUAAAUAUUGGCGAGAGACCGAUAGCGAACAAGUACCGUGAGGGAAAGAUGAAAAGAACUUUGAAAAGAGAGUUAAACAGUACGUGAAAUUGUCAAAAGGGAAGCGUUUGACACCAGUGUUGUUUUUCUGAAAAUCAAUUAAAGAACUGUUUAUGCUAAGCUGUUUAGACUUUAUCAGCUAACUGUUUAGUUUUGAGCCUUUCUUUAAUGCACUUUUCAGUUAACAAGUCAACAUCAAUUUCUUUUGCUGUAAAAAAGCUUGAGGAAGGUGGCUUGAGAUUCGUCUUAAGUGUUUAUAGCCUCUUGCCUAUGCAGUCGGAGAGAUUGAGGUCUGCAGCGUAGAUCCUUCGGGGCUAAAUGCAUUUGUGCUAAGUUAUAGCAUUUUAUAGACAACUUGUUGACUAUGAUUUGUCUUGUAGCUUACUCGCUUAUGUUAUUUUACCUACGCUUAGGAUGUUGAGUCGUAGAGCACGCAG
rnacentral:rRNA from 1 species